rnacentral:rRNA from 1 species
GACGAACGCUGGCGGCGUGCUUAACACAUGCAAGUCGAACGGAAAGGCCCUGCUUUUGUGGGGUGCUCGAGUGGCGAACGGGUGAGUAACACGUGAGUAACCUGCCCUUGACUUUGGGAUAACUUCAGGAAACUGGGGCUAAUACCGGAUAGGAGCUCCUGCUGCAUGGUGGGGGUUGGAAAGUUUCGGCGGUUGGGGAUGGACUCGCGGCUUAUCAGCUUGUUGGUGGGGUAGUGGCUUACCAAGGCUUUGACGGGUAGCCGGCCUGAGAGGGGGACCGGCCACAUUGGGACUGAGAUACGGCCCAGACUCCUACGGGAGGCAGCAGUGGGGAAUAUUGCACAAUGGGCGGAAGCCUGAUGCAGCAACGCCGCGUGCGGGAUGACGGCCUUCGGGUUGUAAACCGCUUUCGCCUGUGACGAAGCGUGAGUGACGGUAAUUGGUAAAGAAGCACCGGCUAACUACGUG